UUCCUCGAGUCGUUGAUUUCACACUGCCGAGAAAAGCCUCUAGCUAGAAAGUUGGUGCCCGUACCGCAAACCGACACAGGUAGUCAAGAUGAGAAUUCUAAGGUGAGCGAGCGAACUCUCGUUAAGGAACUCGGCAAAAUGACCCCGUAACUUCGGGAGAAGGGGUGCUCUUUAGGGUUCACGCUCUGAAGAGCCGCAGUGAAUAGGCCCAAGCGACUGUUUAUCAAAAACACAGGUCUCUGCUAAACCGUAAGGUGACGUAUAGGGGCUGACGCCUGCCCGGUGCUGGAAGGUUAAGAGGAGUGGUUAGCUUCAGCGAAGCUACGAAUCGAAGCCCCAGUAAACGGCGGCCGUAACUAUAACGGUCCUAAGGUAGCGAAAUUCCUUGUCGGGUAAGUUCCGACCCGCACGAAAGGCGUAACGAUUUGGGCACUGUCUCAACGAGAGACUCGGUGAAAUCAUAGUACCGGUGAAGAUGCCGGUUACCCGCGACAGGACGGAAAGACCCCGUGGAGCUUUACUGUAGCCUGAUAUUGAAAUUCGGUACAGUUUGUACAGGAUAGGUAGGAGCCAUUGAAGCGUGAGCGCUAGCUUACGUGGAGGCAUUGGUGGGAUACUACCCUAAUUGUAUUGGAUUUCUAACUCGCAGCACUUAUCGUGCUGGAAGACAGUGUCAGGCGGGCAGUUUGACUGGGGCGGUCGCCUCCUAAAGUGUAACGGAGGCGCUCAAAGGUUCCCUCAGAAUGGUUGGAAAUCAUUCAUAGAGUGUAAAGGCAUAAGGGAGCUUGACUGCGAGACCUACAAGUCGAGCAGGGUCGAAAGACGGACUUAGUGAUCCGGUGGUUCCGCAUGGAAGGGCCAUCGCUCAACGGAUAAAAGCUACCCCGGGGAUAACAGGCUUAUCUCCCCCAAGAGUUCACAUCGACGGGGAGGUUUGGCACCUCGAUGUCGGCUCAUCGCAUCCUGGGGCUGUAGUCGGUCCCAAGGGUUGGGCUGUUCGCCCAUUAAAGCGGUACGCGAGCUGGGUUCAGAACGUCGUGAGACAGUUCGGUCCCUAUCCGUCGUGGGCGUAGGAAAUUUGAGAGGAGCUGUCCUUAGUACGAGAGGACCGGGAUGGACAUACCUCUGGUGUACCAGUUGUCGUGCCAACGGCAUAGCUGGGUAGCUAUGUAUGGACGGGAUAAGUGCUGAAAGCAUCUAAGCAUGAAGCCCCCCUCGAGAUGAGAUUUCCCAACUUCGGUUAUAAGAUCCCUCAAAGAUGAUGAGGUAAAUAGGUUCGAGGUGGAAGCGUAGCGAUACGUGGAGCUGACGAAUACUAAUCGAUCGAAGACUUAAUCAAAUU
rnacentral:rRNA from 1 species